GCCGCGGGAUGUGUCAGUACUUUCCUGCACCAUUCCAUCUCAGCAGGAUCUCGGGCCCUGACAGAGGAAAUCCGCAUCCCAACGCCGGGUUACGAGUCCAGCUCAGCUGUCGCUGCACAUCCAGCUACUCCCGGUGGAUUAUAUUCCCCUCUCCGUUACGCGACGCAUCGGCAUAAGGAGGAGCGGAGUAGCAGCAGUAGCAGCAGCUUGGAGCGCGAGCGCACACACACUCACACCGUGCCCCAGACCAACAUGAGCGGCGCACGAGUCGCAGCGACCCCUGCCGUGGAAGACUGGAAACGCAGACCAUAUCGGGCGGAGCGGCGCAUGCGCGCUCCAACCCCUGCGCAGCGUGCGUGUGUGUGUGUAUGUAUAUAUUGUUUUCUAUUAAAAAAAAAACUAUUUAAGAAUAUUGAUAAACACUUUAAUAUUUAUAACUUAAUAUCCGAGUUGAAUAAAAAAUAAUCAGGAAUAUGUGCUGCAACCUACAAAUCAUCAGGCAGAAAAAUCAAAUUAUUAUAGAUUCAUUUAAUGAUGAAUAUCUAAACACACAUUUAGUCAGUGAAAUCAAAUAAACUAUAUGCCUGAGUAUACAUGACCUUUUUUUAAUUUUCUUUACUUUUAUUCUAGUGUUUACUAAAAAUAAGUUGAUAAACAGAAAUUUCAGUAACUGCUUAUUCUGAUUGUAGUUAGUUAAAUGUUCAUUUCAGCUCUUCAAGGAUGAAGAUGGCUACAUUAUGGCUUUUUUUUGGCUACAGCAAUACAUUUAGUCCACUAAUGGAAUAGCUUAAACAAAUAAGCAGUGUUCCCCUGCUUAAAUACUAAUUUUGAUAUUUUUCUUUGUACUUCACAAGUAUUUUUUUUAAUGAAAUAAACUUUAAAUUAUAUUCUGAAGACAAUAUAAUGUAGACAUUUUACUCUUUACAUUUGCUUACAUCCAGAAUAGAAAAAUCCUCAAAUGAUGCACAUUUCUAUUACAAAUCUGUGCUCUCAAUUUAUUUGUUGUUUAUCUGCAAAAAAAGAUUAAUUCGAGUCGUGUCUGUGAUCAGCAAGAUGAGCAUCUGUGGUAUAUUAAGAUGUUCUCUUUCUCUGAAUCGAACAAUGAUUCAUAUGUGGUGACUCCUUCGCCUCCUGUGUAUAAAUAAAAUACCAACCUUUAAAAACAUGGCAUUUAAUCUAAA